GGCAUCAAGUGAUGAAUUUGGAAAACAAUCUUAGGACACCUUCCUACAUAGCUUUGAUAAAAGCUAUGGAUGAGAAGAACAUUUCCUUUCUGAUGAUGAC
rnacentral:snoRNA from 1 species